rnacentral:lncRNA from 1 species
GGGCUUGGGGUGGUAGCCGUGAUCAGGGUGCUUGGGGUGGUGGUUGUGGUCAGGGCGAAGGUUGAGGGGAGGGAUCUAGACAGCCUGGCCAUAUUGUUUUUGGAAAGAGCUCUAUACAAUGUUAAUUUCUUCACUGAUGAGUCAAUGGAUGAAUGAAAGGAUGUCUUCUUUAAACUGCUGCACGUUGGUUGGCAGAUGGAACCCUCCCUGAAGACAUAAUGAACAAUUAUGCAAUCUGGGGAAUGGCUUUGGAGAAGCAGUUCCAGCUGGGGGUAUAUAAAAGAUGAUGCUAGAAGGGACCUCAGGGAUGAUUCCAGGCCAGAAUGUCGACGGCUC